AUAUCAGUCAUGCAUAGCAUAUCAAUAAGCGGAGGAAAAGAAACUAACAAGGAUUCCCUUAGUAACGGCGAGUGAAGCGGGAAGAGCUCAAAUUUGAAAUCUUCAAGGUUUUACCUUGACGAAUUGUAGUUUAUAGAAGUGUUUUCUGUUAGUAGCGUUGGUAAAAGUUCUUUGGAACAGGACAUCAUAGAGGGUGAGAAUCCCGUAUUUGGUCAUUCUUUCUAGCUUUGUGAUACACUUUCAACGAGUCGGAUUGUUUGGGAAUGCAGUCCAAAAUGGGUGGUAAAUUUCAUCUAAAGCUAAAUAUUGGCGAGAGACCGAUAGCGAACAAGUACCGUGAGGGAAAGAUGAAAAGAACUUUGAAAAGAGAGUUAAACAGUACGUGAAAUUGUCAAAAGGGAAGCGUUUGACACCAGUGUUGUUUUCUCGAAAAUCAAUUAAGAAUGUGAUUUUGUUUUGUAAAGUUAUGACUUAUCAGCUUUCUGCUACUCUUUUACGUAAUCUUUUUAAUGCACUUUUCGUUUAACAAGUCAACAUCAAUUUCUUUUGUUGUAAAAGGUCAUUGGAAGGUGGCUUUUCUUUCGGAGAAAGUGUUUAUAGCCUUUGGCUUCUGCAAUCGGAGAGAUUGAGGUCUGCAGCGUAGAUCCUUCGGGGUUAGAUAGCAUUUGUGCUAAGCUAUAGUUCUUUCAUAGACAACUUGUUGACUAUGAUCAGUCCUGUAGCUUACUCGCUUAUGCUAUUUUACCUACGCUUAGGAUGUUGAUGUGAUACUGCGAGC
rnacentral:rRNA from 1 species